UCUUUUACUCUGUUUUCAAGGUGAUUGGCUUGAUCAUUCCUUUUCGUAGUGAUGAUGCUUAGAAGUGGGAAAGUGUGGUUUCUCCUGUAGAGUCCAUGCCAUCAACCAGAGGGAAAUAUGCCCCUUUACAGGAGUCCCCCGGAGCAGAAGAGCAGGGUUGAUUGAUUCAGCAGCUCAGUGAUGUCAUUAGGGGAAACCAGCCACCAUGCUGUGAAGAAGCCCAAGCUGCCACAUGGACAGACCCAUGUGCAGGGAAACCACCAGCCAGCACUGAACAGCCAGCCGUGUGAGGUGCACUAUCUUGGAAGUGGAUCCUCCAGCCUCAAGCUACCCCGCUGACACCAUGUGAAGCAGAGGAGAGCCGUUCUAUGAGGCACUAAGUUUUGGGGUGGUUUGUUAUGCGGCAGUAGACAGCUGGAACAGGGGUGCACUCUGGAAAGAAUUGUGUUUCCUCAGUGCUUUCUCUGAUGUCUUACUCUUUUUGUCAUUGGAUUAGUUAGGUAUCAAGAGCAAGGCCUAAAGUGAGGAAAGAGUUGAAGCCUGAAAGGAAUUUUAUUGUUUAGUUCAACUAAUUUGCUGUCUGGGAUUUCUAUAUGGGAUUUGGGGGUUCAUGAUUUAUAAUAACAAGUGGUGAUUUUGCACAUCUCCCUUGAGAAGUUGCAGUAGGUGAUGGCUGGUUGUGAGCUGGAUGUUCAGGAUCCAAGGAAAAUAAUCAAUGACAACUAUCUACUCCCUUUUUACUUAAAGUACGGCCCACCCUGGAAGGAGUAAUCCUUGUUAAGGCAUCUUCUUACCUGUUUUGCCUAUUCUAGGAACCAGGAUCUUGACUUGCUGUCAGAAGGGUCCACUCAGCUCAAUCGCGCUGCGCGGCUUGUGGG